rnacentral:rRNA from 1 species
GCCAGCAGCCGCGGUAAUACGUAGGUGGCAAGCGUUGUCCGGAAUUAUUGGGCGUAAAGCGCGCGCAGGCGGUCCUUUAAGUCUGAUGUGAAAGCCCACGGCUCAACCGUGGAGGGUCAUUGGAAACUGGGGGACUUGAGUGCAGAAGAGGAGAGUGGAAUUCCACGUGUAGCGGUGAAACGCGUAGAGAUGUGGAGGAACACCAGUGGCGAAGGCGACUCUCUGGUCUGUAACUGACGCUGAGGCGCGAAAGCGUGGGGAGCGAACAGGAUUAGAUACCCUGGUAGUCCACGCCGUAAACGAUGAGUGCUAAGUGUUAGAGGGUUUCCGCCCUUUAGUGCUGCAGCAAACGCAUUAAGCACUCCGCCUGGGGAGUACGGCCGCAAGGCUGAAACUCAAAGGAAUUGACGGGGG